rnacentral:lncRNA from 10 species
GGUCACAUACCAAUUCCCACACUCUUGGCAGGUUGGUCAUGGCCCUGGCAGGUCUGAGGACAGGAUGGACACAGGACUGUGUGUAGCAUAGAAAGGUCAGGGAGUGCAGCCUCCUACUCUGUGCCAGCUGCCAGCCCCGGAGCUUACUAGGCUGAUGGGGACAAAGAAUGCACCAGAGGGGACAGUGACCAUUGUCCCUGGGUUAGUCCACCACAGGACUGAUGGGAAGUUCAUGGAUGUACUGAUUGCCCUGUUGCAUUUGUCCUCAGGGGCGGAUGCUGAGAUGGAGUUAGGAGAGCAAAGGGGAGGAAGGGAGCUGGGCAUGGUGGCUCAUGCCUGUAAAUCCUAGCACUUGGGGAGGCCCAGGUGGGAGGAUUUCUUGAGGCCAGGAGUUUGAGACCAGCCUGGGCAACAUAGCAAGACCCUGUCUCUACCAAAAAAAAUUAAAAAUUAGCCAGGUGUGGUGGCUGUAUUCCCAGCUACUUGGGAGGCUGAGGUGGGCGGAACAGUUGAGCCUAGGAGUUGUCAAUAGAAAUCAAGUGUUGGGAUAUUGAGAAUAGCAGCAUAAUGAGGGUCCAGAGUAUGUUCUUAAUACUAAUGGUAUAAUUUCGAGCUUCUGAUAUAUACACAAACAUGUAUAGCUACACCAGGGAUUGUGCUCAAGAUUUGACUUACAUUAGCUUGUUUAAGCCUCUUCCACACACUAUUUGAGGCAGGUACUGUUGUUAUCAUUUUAUGGAUGACAAAACUUAGAAGCAGAGCAUUUAGGAAACUUGCCCAAGAUCACACAGCCAUGAAGCAGACACCAGAACCAGAGCC